GACGAACGCUGGCGGCGUGCUUAACACAUGCAAGUCGAACGGAAAGGCCCUGCUUUUGUGGGGUGCUCGAGUGGCGAACGGGUGAGUAACACGUGAGUAACCUGCCCUUGACUUUGGGAUAACUUCAGGAAACUGGGGCUAAUACCGGAUAGGAGCUCCUGCUGCAUGGUGGGGGUUGGAAAGUUUCGGCGGUUGGGGAUGGACUCGCGGCUUAUCAGCUUGUUGGUGGGGUAGUGGCUUACCAAGGCUUUGACGGGUAGCCGGCCUGAGAGGGUGACCGGCCACAUUGGGACUGAGAUACGGCCCAGACUCCUACGGGAGGCAGCAGUGGGGAAUAUUGCACAAGGGGCGGAAGCCUGAGGCAGCAACGCCGCGUGCGGGAUGACGGCCUUCGGGUUGUAAACCGCUUUCGCCUGUGACGAAGCGUGAGUGACGGUAAUGGGUAAAGAAGCACCGGCUAACUACGU
rnacentral:rRNA from 1 species